rnacentral:rRNA from 1 species
GUGGGGGAUAUUGCACAAUGGGCGAAAGCCUGAUGCAGCAACGCCGCGUGAGGGAAGACGGUUUUCGGAUUGUAAACCUCUGUCUUUGGUGACGAAACAAAUGACGGUAGCCAAGGAGGAAGCCACGGCUAACUACGUGCCAGCAGCCGCGGUAAUACGUAGGUGGCGAGCGUUGUCCGGAAUUACUGGGUGUAAAGGGAGCGCAGGCGGGGAGACAAGUCAGCUGUGAAAACUAACGGCUUAACCGAUAGAGUGCAGUUGAAACUGUUUUUCUUGAGUGGAGCAGAGGCAGGCGGAAUUCCGAGUGUAGCGGUGAAAUGCGUAGAUAUUCGGAGGAACACCAGUGGCGAAGGCGGCCUGCUGGGCUUUAACUGACGCUGAGGCUCGAAAGUGUGGGGAGCAAACAGGAUUAGAAACCCCUGUAGUCC